rnacentral:rRNA from 1 species
GAGUUUGAUCCUGGCUCAGGACGAACGCUGGCGGCACGCCUAACACAUGCAAGUCGAACGGAGAUAUUUUGGUUUACUGAGAUAUYUUAGUGGCGGACGGGUGAGUAACACGUGAGCAACCUGCCUYUGAGAGAGGGAUAGCUUCUGGAAACGGAUGGUAAUACCUCAUAACAUAACGAAGCCGCAUGACUUUGUUAUCAAAGAUUUAUCACUCAGAGAUGGGCUCGCGUYUGAUUAGAUAGUUGGUGAGGUAACGGCCCACCAAGUCGACGAUCAGUAGCCGGACUGAGAGGUUGAACGGCCACAUUGGGACUGAGACACGGCCCAGACUCCUACGGGAGGCAGCAGUGGGGAAUAUUGCACAAUGGGGGAAACCCUGAUGCAGCGAUGCCGCGUGGAGGAAGAAGGUUUUCGGAUUGUAAACUCCUGUCUAAAGGACGAUAAUGACGGUACCUAGAGAGG